UACGUAGGGUCCAAGCGUUAUCCGGAAUUAUUGGGCGUAAAGGGCGCGUAGGCGGCUUGGCAAGUGGAUGGUGAAAUCCCUCGGCUUAACCGAGGAACUGCCGUCCAAACUGCUUCGCUUGAGACCGGGAGAGGUGAGUGGAAUUCCCAGUGUAGCGGUGAAAUGCGUAGAUAUUGGGAGGAACACCAGUGGCGAAGCGGUUCACUGGACCGGUACUGACGCUGAUGCGCGAAAGCGUGGGGAGCAAACGGG
rnacentral:rRNA from 1 species